rnacentral:rRNA from 1 species
UACGUAGGGGGCAAGCGUUGUCCGGAAUUAUUGGGCGUAAAGCGCGCGUAGGCGGCCAGAUAAGUCCGGUGUGAAAUCUCGAGGCUCAACUUCGAGCUGUCGGUGGAAACUGUCUGGCUAGAGUCCGGAAGAGGAGAAUGGAAUUCCUGGUGUAGCGGUGAAAUGCGCAGAUAUCAGGAAGAACACCCGUGGCGAAGGCGGUGCUCUGGGACGGUACUGACGCUGAGACGCGAAAGCGUGGGGAGCGAACAGG